CCUGGCAGCCGAACCAACUGACUUCACAAACGGCCUCAGUCCACCACCCUCGGCCCGCGCCCGGGCCCAGCGGAUCCAGCUCUGCCGCCGUCCCGGCCGGCCAGCCCCGGCGGCUCGAGGCAGACGCCCUCCCCGCUGCGGAGCGGGGAAUCCCCCGGCGUCCUCGCCCGGCCACAGCCCCCGCCGGUGACUUGACUUCCGCCUGCUGGAGCCCUAACGCGGGAGCCCAUUCGCUCCGCUUUGCCCAUUGGCCAGCGCUUCCAAGCGCUCUUGGAAUUGGCUGAAACUCCAGGCUCCGAGACCAAUCGGCGGAACGUGGGUAGAAGAAUCUCACAUGUAAGGCCAGAAGUAGAGUGAGUGUCCAGAUGUCCAAAAACUGAAUUCAGGGCAGGAACGGUUCCUUGGAGCUACUGCAGGGGGCACUGUGAGCGCAGGCUCCAGCUGACACUCAAAAUCAUGUCAGGGGAUGCAACCAGGACCUUGAGGAAAGGAAGCUGUCCCCCAGGGCCGGUUCCCGAGGGACUCAUCCGUAUCUACAGCAUGAGGUUCUGCCCCUACUCACACAGGACGCGUCUGGUCCUCAAGGCCAAAGGCAUCAGACAUGAAGUUAUCAAUAUUAACCUGCGAAGCAAGCCUGACUGGUACUAUACAAAACACCCUUUCGGCCAAAUUCCUGUCCUGGAGAACAGCCAGUGUCAACUGAUCUACGAGUCGGUCAUCACUUGUGAGUACCUGGAUGACACGUACCCGGGCAGGAAGCUGUUUCCACAUGACACAUAUGAACGGGCGCGCCAGAAGAUGCUGCUGGAGCUGUUUUGUAAGGUCCCACACUUGACCAAGGAGUGUCUGCUGGCGCUGAGAAGCGGCAGGGAAUGUACCGAUCUGAAGGCUGCCCUGCGGCGGGAGUUCUGCAACCUGGAAGAGAUUCUUGGCUAUCAGAAUACCACCUUCUUUGGUGGGGACCAUAUAACCAUGAUUGAUUACCUCUUCUGGCCCUGGUUUGAGCGGCUGGAUGUAUAUGGAAUCGCUGACUCUUGCUGCUUUUGCUGUUUUCUACUGCCAUGAACUGUGCCCUCUGCCAUGUGCCACCCUGCCGUGGAGCCAGCUGAUUAUGGAUGAAACUUCCACAAACUCUGUGUGGACCACACCCCGAUGCUUCGUCUUUGGACAGCCGCCAUGAAGCGGGACCCCACAGUCUGUGCUCUGCUCACAGACAAGCAAAUUUUCCUGGGCUUCUUGAAUCUCUACUUCCAGAAUAACCCCAAUGCUUUUGAUUUUGGGCUGAUCUGCUGAGUCUUGUGGCCCCUGCCUGACUAUCCGGGAUCCCCAGCAUGUUAUGAGUCACCUGCGUUAGGGAUUAUCUUGGGGUCAGUUCAUUUCUGUUGCUUUUUUUUUUUUUUUAAUAUUCUUAAUAAAAAUAAAAACAAAAU